rnacentral:rRNA from 1 species
GAUGAACGCUGGCGGCGUGCCUAAUACAUGCAAGUCGAGCGAAUGGAUUGAGAGCUUGCUCUUAUGAAGUUAGCGGCGGACGGGUGAGUAACACGUGGGUAACCUGCCCAUAAGACUGGGAUAACUCCGGGAAACCGGGGCUAAUACCGGAUAACAUUUUGAACCGCAUGGUUCGAAAUUGAAAGGCGGCGUCGGCUGUCACUUAUGGAUGGACCCGCGUCGCAUUAGCUAGUUGGUGAGGUAACGGCUCACCAAGGCAACGAUGCGUAGCCGACCUGGGAGGGUGAUCGGCCACACUGGGACUGAGACACGGCCCGGACUCCUACGGGAGGCAGCAGUAGGGGAUCUUCCGCAAUGGACGAAAGUCUGACGGAGCAACGCCGCGUGAGUGAUGAAGGCUUUCGGGUCGUAAAACUCUGUUGUUAGGGAAGAACAAGUGCUAGUUGAAUAAGCUGGCACCUUGACGGUACCUAACCAGAAAGCCACGGCUAACUACGUGCCAGCAGCCGCAGUAA